rnacentral:rRNA from 22 species
GCGACCCCAGGAUGGGCGAGGCC